AGCAGCCAUCAACCAGUCGAGGCCAGGGGGUUCGAAUUGAUCUUGCUUCAUCUCAACCUUUUGUGAUGCCCUUUGGUGCUCCUGGUUCUGCUC
rnacentral:pre_miRNA from 1 species